AUGUAUUGGUACGGCCUCAAGCGCCUGUUGUCGUGAACAUCCAAUGUCAAUUGCCCCAGUGGCUAAUUCAUUGGUAAUAUCAAGUGUGUAGCAGCAGUUUGUAGGCCCUACUUAGUGCCUUCUGUCUACUAGUCUUUUUCUUCACACAUAGUCGUCAAUCUGUGUCUUUUGUUCUUCUAUGCYCUUGUAUGUUUAUGUAAAUUGUUCUAUCCCCCCUCCUCUUAUUGGAAAGUCCAGUGAAGCAAGUGUUGCCAACUGUCCCGUACUAGCCGGGAUGUCCAUUAUAUUGGGCUAAAUUGGUUUGUCCCAUACGGGAUCUCCCUUGUCCAGUAUAUUCAUCCAAUCACAGUAAUAGCGUAAACGCGCCAAUUCCUGCAAAGUAAUUUCUGUUGUUGUUCGGUCUGUUUGGCAUAUCAAGGAAAUAUGGAUAAACCUGCAAAAAAGAAAAGUCCAGGAGCCUGUAUCUGGGUAUGAACUUGAGCAAACAAUGGGAAGCAAAAAAGACGUGGGUUAAGGCUGUCAGUGGUGACUCGACGACAGCUUUCUGUACUUUAUGCCGUCGGGAAUUCUCAAUUGGCCAUGGAGGGGAGAGUGACCAAACUCAGCAUGCAUCCACAGAAAUGCACACCGCCACGCUAGCUAAAGGUGCUAGCAAUAUCUGUGCAUUCUUCGUGACGCCUACUGCGGAGAAUGACGAUCUGCCUCCUACGGAAGAUUGAGCACCUGGACCUGGUCCACCACAUGUUGCUCUAUGGCUGCCCCUUGUCUUUGAACCAGACCCACGUGCAGAAAUGCUUCACGGGGGGACCAGCGGACGAAUGCUUCAGAGUGGUGUUUGCCUGGGGUGUGGGAGGAGGGGCUUUCGAUCUUCCAGAAAUUCGCUGGCAUCCCUAUUGGAGGACAGGAUUAUGAUGACUUCUACAGGCUGGUAAUUUACUACAGCAACCCAGCCCAACAACCCAUUUCACUAGCUACUAGCUGGAUUAUCAUGCCACAAGCAAUGGAUUCCCCUUGGUGGAUGAGAAACAGAACUACACCCUCCUGACUGAGGCAGAUGGUCAAACCACAUUGACCUUCUGGAGGACCAUCCAAUCAUGUGACGAGGAAAACUUCCGCAUCACUGCGAGUCAACUGUUUCGCAGACAAACUGUUAAAAAGUAAAGCGAACUGAAAGCGCUGUAAUGGGAAUUGUAAUGUUUGUGCUUUUCUUAUAACUAAUUUCUGUGUUCUACUCAUGUGCUGUUCUUAUAACUAAGAUUGACUUCGAGUGUCCCUGUGUAAGAAUUUCAACAAAAGUGCUAAAAGUAUUAAAGCGGAACAUCAUGUUCCCUUAUCAUUGA